AACUUGCCACUCAUGCCACCAACCAGGUGAAGAAGGAACUCAUCUCCAUGCCACCAACCAGGUGAUGAAAUGUACAACCCGUGCUCUCCUUCAUGCCACCAACCAGGUGAUGAAAUGUACAACCCGUACUCUAAUAUCAUUUGGCAACUUGCCAUUCACGCCACCAACUAGGUGAUGAAAUGUACAACCCGUACUUUACUUCAUGCCACCAACCAGGUGAUGAAAUGUACGACCCAUACUCUAAUAUCAUUUGGCAACUUGCCACUCAUGCCACCAGCCAGGUGAAGAAGGAACUCAUCUUCAUGCCACCAACCAAGUGAUGAAAUGUACAACCCAUACUCUAAUAUCAUUUAGCAACUUGCCAUUCAUGCCACCAACCACGGGAAGAAGGAACUCAUCCUUGUGCCACCAACCAGGUUAUAAAAUGUGAUGAAAGGUGAUGAAGGAACUCACCUCCGUACCACCAACCAAGUGAUGAAAGCAACUCACCAUUCAUUCCACCUACCAGAAGACGAGUUGUACAACUUGUACAUAUGAACUCCUAGCAUUCACAAAUAAUUAAAAACCCUCAAACUUGACAAUUGAACUAGGGUGAGCAAUUAUGCCCAACAAGAGUUAUAGUCACCAACAAAGUCUUAUUGCAAGCCAACAACAACUGCAGUGCAUGGCAUACGAAGAUCAAGCUAUUCAGCCCUUUUGCAUCUGCUUUAAACAUUUCCCCUAUAUAACAAUGCAAACACUACAACUCGUAGAAAGCUUCACACACUCUUGAUCAGGACAGUGUGAAGCAAAACCAAUUUAUAGUGCCAACAAGAGCUUCAUCAAAGUAGUUCAACCAUAAUUCUCAAAAGCUUCACACACUCUUGAUCAAGACAGUGUCAAGUGAAACCAAUUUAUGGUGCCAACAAGAGGUUCAUCAAUGGAGGGCAACCACAAUUCUUAAAAGCUUCAUACACUCUUGAUCAAGACAGUGUGAAGCAAAACCAAUUUAUGGUGCCAAUAAGAGCUUCAUCAAGGGAGUUCAACCACAAUUCUUAAAAGCUUCACACACUCUUGAUCAAGACAGUGUGGAGCAAAACCAAUUUAUGGUGCCAACAAGAGCUUCAUCAAAGGAGUUCAACCACAAUUCUCAAAAGCUUCACACACUCUUGAUCAAGACAGUGUGAAGCAAAAUCAAUUUAUAGUGCCAACAAGAGCUUCAUCAAUGGAGGGCAACCACAAUUCUCAAAAGCUUCACACA
rnacentral:lncRNA from 1 species